UUCCAAAUAGAGUUGCUAUUUGGAUGGCUGGAGGCUACAGAAUGCCCUCAGAUUGCCUGGUCAGAAAGGAAUGCAAAUAGUUGGAAAUCUUUCAGUUAUUUGUUAUCCAAGGUCAUGAGGCAACAGAAUUCCACAAUGAUAUGGUUGAGGAAAAUGGAGAACUGUCCACUGAGGAGCCCAGCAUAAUAAUGAACAACUAUCUGGAAUCUUUGGCUUCGGUACCAAGCUAAUACUGCCCUAGGUAGGUUAAAUUAAAAAAAAAAAAGUGGAAAAUAACUUUGCUUUCAUGGCAUGCUUGGUUAGGCACUUACUGGCCCUUUAAAGUAGAAUAACAGCAACUCAGAACACCUUUAGGCCAGAGUGUCUUAUCCUUGGCACUACUGAUAUUUUGGGUUCAAUAAUUCUUUGCUUUUGGGGGGCUGCAAAUUCUCAGGGCCUAUUACACUACUAUAAAGUGAGAGUGGCACCACCCCUCCAAGUGAUUCUGAGGCUGGUUAAAGUUUGAGGAACAGUAAUCUAACCCAACUCUCUCAUUUUACAAUAAAAGAAACCAGUUGGUUAAGCCUUAUCUCAGAUUAAAUGUCUGGUUAGAGUCAAAACGGUACAUUAUAUCUUAUUCUCCACAGAAUUUGCUAAGUGUGGCCUUGGAGAAAGAGGUGGGUAUCCUGCAAAGAUAUUUC
rnacentral:lncRNA from 1 species